UACAGUCAAACGUGGUAAUCGUGGAGGAAUCUUUUGGCUCCGUCAGUAGGUGGCUAAAAUCAAGUUGUCCCCCAGCCGCCAGAUGACGCGAGUGUCUUUGACAGGACGAUAUUUUCGCCAUUUUGUUCCGAAACGCCAAGUGAAAAGGUAUUCCAAAUUCGUUACGGAAUUGCGGUGUCGAUCUACAUUUUUCAGCAUUGAAAUGUAAUGGCAAUCUGGCAUAUAAUUUCCACUUGGCCAAAUAAUUGAUCACGUGGACUGAAACUGCUUUCCAUAAAUAUUAUGCCGAAAUGUUGGUCGUUGUUAUUUGUUAGCUGUACCUGUUCGGAUGUACGUCUCAUCUCAAGCAGAAACACUACAGAGUUGGUGUUCAGGUUGGAGAUCCUUUUGCUUAAAUGUUGCAGAAUGAUUGAGUUGCAGAAAUUGAGAACUCAACAAGGCUGAGCUCCAUGACUGGCAUCAUUACAGUGGUUUUGUUGCAGCCAGCUGGUAAAAGGCGUGAUCGACUCAAGUUGAGCUACUGCAUGCAGUUUAUCGAUCUGGUGUUAUCCUGAAGUGUCAUUGCAGGAAGACUUUUUGAAAUGGACUUGGUUAUACUUUAACUAUGCCUGUGCUGUUCAAUGUGCAGUGGUUUUGCAGCCUGUUUCCAGUUGAGAGAUGUGAUUAUGCAGCUGAUAUAGGAUUGAAGAAAAAUAACUGAAGUAGCUGUGCUGGUGUUCUCCUGAAAUUGCUGUGCCACAGGAGUUGCAGAUAGUGUUUGGUUCGGUGGUUCUUCAUAGAAGUUUAUUUAAAGAGUCUGGAGUGGAGAUGAUCAGCCACUUCUGCCUUUUAAUUAUGUAAAACUUCAAAGUUGUAAGAAAUAUACGAGUCAAGUGCUAAA